UGGGGAAUAUUGCACAAUGGGCGGAAGCCUGAUGCAGCAACGCCGCGUGCGGGAUGACGGCCUUCGGGUUGUAAACCGCUUUCGCCUGUGACGAAGCGUGAGUGACGGUAAUGGGUAAAGAAGCACCGGCUAACUACGUGCCAGCAGCCGCGGUGAUACGUAGGGUGCGAGCGUUGUCCGGAUUUAUUGGGCGUAAAGGGCUCGUAGGUGGUUGAUCGCGUCGGAAGUGUAAUCUUGGGGCUUAACCCUGAGCGUGCUUUCGAUACGGGUUGACUUGAGGAAGGUAGGGGAGAAUGGAAUUCCUGGUGGAGCGGUGGAAUGCGCAGAUAUCAGGAGGAACACCAGUGGCGAAGGCGGUUCUCUGGGCCUUUCCUGACGCUGAGGAGCGAAAGCGUGGGGAGCGAACA
rnacentral:rRNA from 3 species